GUGUCAGCCGCCGCGGUAAUACGUAGGUGGCAAGCGUUGUCCGGAUUUAUUGGGCGUAAAGCGAGCGCAGGCGGUUCCUUAAGUCUGAUGUGAAAGCCCACGGCUCAACCGUGGAAGGUCAUUGGAAACUGGGGAACUUGAGUGCAGAAGAGGAGAGUGGAAUUCCAUGUGUAGCGGUGAAAUGCGUAGAUAUAUGGAGGAACACCAGUGGCGAAGGCGACUCUCUGGUCUGUAACUGACGCUGAGGCUCGAAAGCGUGGGGAGCAAACAGGAUUAGAUACCCUAGUAGUCC
rnacentral:rRNA from 1 species